rnacentral:rRNA from 1 species
AGUGCAUGUGGUGGAUGCCUUGGCAGUCAGAGGCGAUGAAAGACGUGAUAGCCUGCGAAAAGCUCCGGGGAGGCGGCAAAUAUCCUUUGAUCCGGAGAUGUCUGAAUGGGGGAACCCACCUACUUUAAGGUAGGUAUUGCAACAUGAAUACAUAGUGUUGCAAGGCGAACGAGGGGAAGUGAAACAUCUCAGUACCCUUAGGAAAAGAAAUCAAUUGAGAUUCCCUCAGUAGCGGCGAGCGAACGGGGAUCAGCCCAUUAAGUUAUGUGUGUUUUAGUGGAACGCUCUGGGAAGUGCGAACGUAGAGGGUGAUAUUCCCGUACACGAAAGGGCACACAUAAUGAUGACGAGUAGGGCGAGGCACGUGAAACCUUGUCUGAAUAUGGGGGGACCAUCCUCCAAGGCUAAAUACUCCUGACUGACCGAUAGUGAACCAGUACCGUGAGGGAAAGGCGAAAAGAACCCCUGUGAGGGGAGUGAAAUAGAUCCUGAAACCGCAUGCAUACAAGCAGUGGGAGCACCUUCGUGGUGUGACUGCGUACCUUUUGUAUAAUGGGUCAGCGACUUAUAUUCAGUAGCGAGGUUAACCGUAUAGGGGAGCCGUAGAGAAAUCGAGUCUUAAUAGGGCGUUUAGUUGCUGGGUAUAGACCCGAAACCAGGCGAUCUAUCCAUGAGCAGGUUGAAGGUUGGGUAACACUAACUGGAGGACCGAACCCACUGUCGUUGAAAAGCCAGGGGAUGACUUGUGGAUAGGGGUGAAAGGCUAAUCAAGCCUGGUGAUAGCUGGUUCUCCCCGAAAGCUAUUUAGGUAGCGCCUCGGACGAAUACCAUAGGGGGUAGAGCACUGUUUCGGCUAGGGGGUCAUCCCGACUUACCAAACCGAUGCAAACUCCGAAUACCUAUGAGUACUAUCCGGGAGACAGACUGCGGGUGCUAACGUCCGUAGUCAAGAGGAAAACAAUCCAGACCGCCAGCUAAGGCCCCAAAAUCAUAGUUAAGUGGGAAACGAUGUGGGAAGGCAUAGACAGCUAGGAGGUUGGCUUAGAAGCAGCCACCCUUUAAAGAAAGCGUAAUAGCUCACUAGUCGAGUCGGCCUGCGCGGAAGAUGUAACGGGGCUAAAACUAUGUGCCGAAGCUGCGGAUGUAUACUUUGUAUACGUGGUAGGGGAGCGUUCUGUAAGCCGAUGAAGGUGUGUUGAGAAGCAUGCUGGAGGUAUCAGAAGUGCGAAUGCUGACGUGAGUAACGACAAAACGGGUGAAAAACCCGUUCGCCGAAAGACCAAGGGUUCCAGUCCAACGUUAAUCGGGGCUGGGUGAGUCGACCCCUAAGGCGAGGCCGAAAGGCGUAGUCGAUGGGAAAAUGGUUAAUAUUCCAUUACUUCUGUGUAAUGCGAUGAGAGGACGGAGAAGGCUAAAUCAGCCUGGCGUUGGUUGUCCAGGUGAAAGGAUGUAGGCAUGUAUCUUAGGCAAAUCCGGGGUACUCUAUGCUGAGAUCUGAUAGCAAGCUGUACUUGUACAGCGAAGUGGUUGAUGCCAUGCUUCCAGGAAAAGUCUCUAAGCUUCAGUUACACAGGAAUCGUACCCGAAACCGACACAGGUGGUCAGGUCGAGUAGACCAAGGCGCUUGAGAGAACUCUGCUGAAGGAACUAGGCAAAAUGGUACCGUAACUUCGGGAGAAGGUACGCUGUUGUUGGUGAUGGAACUCGCUUCCUGAGCUGACGACAGCCGCAGAAACCAGGCCGCUGCAACUGUUUAUUAAAAACAUAGCACUCUGCAAACACGAAAGUGGACGUAUAGGGUGUGAUGCCUGCCCGGUGCUGGAAGGUUAAUUGAUGGGGUUAGCGUAAGCGAAGCUCUUGAUCGAAGCCCCAGUAAACGGCGGCCGUAACUAUAACGGUCCUAAGGUAGCGAAAUUCCUUGUCGGGUAAGUUCCGACCUGCACGAAUGGCAUAAUGAUGGCGGCGCUGUCUCCAGCAGAGGCUCAGUGAAAUCGAAAUCGCUGUGAAGAUGCAGUGUACCCGCGGCUAGACGGAAAGACCCCGUGAACCUUUACUGCAGCUUGACACUGAACUUUGACCUUACUUGUGUAGGAUAGGUGGGAGGCUUUGAAGCUGGAACGCUAGUUCCAGUGGAGCCGUCCUUGAAAUACCACCCUGGUAAUGUUGAGGUUCUAACUCUGUCCCGUGAUCCGGGACGAGGACCGUGUCUGGUGGGUAGUUUGACUGGGGCGGUCUCCUCCUAAAGAGUAACGGAGGAGUACGAAGGUGCGCUCAGCGUGGUCGGAAAUCACGCGUAGAGUAUAAAGGCAAAAGCGCGCUUAACUGCGAGACCCACAAGUCGAGCAGGUACGAAAGUAGGUCUUAGUGAUCCGGUGGUUCUGUAUGGAAGGCCAUCGCUCAACGGAUAAAAGGUACUCUGGGGAUAACAGGCUGAUACCGCCCAAGAGUUCAUAUCGACGGCGGUGUUUGGCACCUCGAUGUCGGCUCAUCUCAUCCUGGGGCUGAAGCAGGUCCCAAGGGUAUGGCUGUUCGCCAUUUAAAGAGGUACGCGAGCUGGGUUUAGAAACGUCGUGAGACAGUUCGGUCCCUAUCUACCGUGGGCGCUGGAAAUUUGAGAGGAUCUGCUCCUAGUACGAGAGGACCAGAGUGGACGAACCUCUGGUGUACCGGUUGUGACGCCAGUCGCAUCGCCGGGUAGCUAUGUUCGGAAGGGAUAACCGCUGAAAGCAUCUAAGCGGGAAGCCUACCUCAAGAUAAGAUUUCCCUAGGACUUUAUGUCCUCUAAAGAGCCGUUCGAGACUAGGACGUUGAUAGGUUGGAUGUGGAAGCAUAGUGAUAUGUGAAGCUGACCAAUACUAAUUGCUCGUGAGGCUUGACU